CUUCGUGCGAACAUGCAACAAGGAGCUCGUGGAAAUGGCAAAAAUUAUCCGCUCAACGAGGCUGCGCAAGUUUAUGCAGGUGGGCUGCCGCGUAUACAACACGUGCAAAGAGUCGACGCUGGAAAAAAUCCAAUUCAGGAUAUGACCCAAGCGGAAUUCCUAGAACCG